CAUUCCUUUCCUUUUCUGUCUGUCAGAUUGUGAGGAUUUAAACCGCCAAUGUGCAUACUGGGCAUCAAGAGGUGAAUGCUACAAAAAUCCAGGGUAUAUGCUGUAUUAUUGUUGCAGAAGUUGCCAUGCCACUCCAGCUUGUGAGGACGAAGACCGGGAUUGUCCAUACUGGGCAGACCGCGAUGAAUGCUACAAAAAUCCACAAUAUAUGCUACGCUAUUGCCGCAGAAGUUGCGACAACUGUUAGGUAUACAUGCGCACCAGUAAUUUUUCAAACGAGUUGAAGUGAAGCACAUUGGACCUGUCUUCCACCGGAACAGAUAAAAAAGAUUUGAGGCAAUAAAUUUUAUUUUUCUCGCAUAACUUGGGUUGGGUGAAGGAAGGUGCUGGGUUGCCCAUGUAAGGGUUUUUCGCUGUGCUUAUUGUAGAAUUUUUAGCCUCAUCAUCUGUAAAAUAAAACAAAUGAUGAGCUAAAAGGCUGUGGUUUAUUCUGUCGGUUCUUAGUAACCAUUCCGUAACCCAAAGGAUUCAAAACAGAGAAAGAAGAAAUGGAAGGCAAAAUUGGCUGAUUUUUGUUUAAAUUUUUUUUUUAAUAAUCUUUUAAAUA